rnacentral:rRNA from 1 species
GAUGAACGCUGGCGGCGUGCCUAAUACAUGCAAGUAGAACGCUGAAGGAAGGAGCUUGCUCUUUCCGGAUGAGUUGCGAACGGGUGAGUAACGCGUAGGUAACCUGCCUGGUAGCGGGGGAUAACUAUUGGAAACGAUAGCUAAUACCGCAUAACAGUAGAUGUUGCAUGAUAUCUACUUAAAAGGUGCAAUUGCACCACUACCAGAUGGACCUGCGUUGUAUUAGCUAGUUGGUGAGGUAACGGCUCACCAAGGCGACGAUACAUAGCCGACCUGAGAGGGUGAUCGGCCACACUGGGACUGAGACACGGCCCAGACUCCUACGGGAGGCAGCAGUAGGGAAUCUUCGGCAAUGGACGGAAGUCUGACCGAGCAACGCCGCGUGAGUGAAGAAGGGUGUCGGAUCGUAAAGCUCUGUUGUAAGAGAAGAACGAGUGUGAGAGUGGAAAGUUCACACUGUGACGGUAUCUUACCAGAAAGGGACGGCUAACUACGUG